rnacentral:rRNA from 1 species
UUGUCCUUAGUUACAGCACGUUAUGGUGGGCACUCUAAGGAGACUGCCGGUGACAAACCGGAGGAAGGUGGGGAUGACGUCAAGUCAUCAUGGCCUUACGGCCAGGGCUACACACGUGCUACAAUGGUCGGUACAAAGGGUCGCCAAGCCGCGAGGUGGAGCUAAUCCCAUAAAACCGAUCGUAGUCCGGAUCGCAGUCUGCAACUCGACUGCGUGAAGUCGGAAUCGCUAGUAAUCGUGAAUCAGAAUGUCACGGUGAAUACGUUCCCGGGCCUU